CCUAGAGUCGUUUUAGUGGUCAGACAGCCUUGAAGUAACGGUCGGGUUUAUUUUUGAACUGACGUAAGAGUGUGUAUUGCAGUAAGUAUUGAAGGUGUAUGUAGACGUUUAUCAGCAUUUUUUUUUUUUAAAGUGGCUGGUUACUUUUAAAAAGGGUGAGCUUCAUGUCUGAGUGGCUGAAAUCUGAUGUUUUCAUCGUAUUUAUGGUGGUCCUGUCGCUCACAGUUAUUUACAUGUUUGUGGUCUGCUGUCUCUUAAGGAGCCGUCGCACACACAAAACAAGAGAGGAAAUGGCAGAAAUCGAGAUCGUGCCUUUUGCAGGUUCAGGUAGAAACCAUAAACCCAGAUUCACUCUGAGGAUCAUCACAGAGCAGAAACAUGCCUCGGAGCUUGUUCAGAUGUUAACGAGCCAAAUCCGCUCCACUGUAGGCCCUGCGUGCUCGACUGACCUUGGUGUCUCUGCUGUAACUGCUGAGGUUGCCUCUACUUCUCAAGAUCAACUGGAGAUGUACGCUUUAUCUCCCUGUCACACAACAGACGCCGCACUCCCUAUUGGAGGGCAAGUCACCUCACUGGACUUGCAAACUACAAAUCCCACUGAACACUUGGUGACCGCUAUAGUUGAGCCAAUCAGGAUUACUGAUUAUGAAGAAAAUGAUGCUAGUGAUAGUGAAACACUGCAGUUCUACCCUACCUUAUUAUAAGACUGCAUACAAGACAAGUUUACUGAGUUAACAAUGAACAUAAAUGUCUUUCUUUGCUUUAUAUAUGCUGUGUAGGUCAUGCUGUUCUGCUACGUGUUGUUUUUCAAUGAGUCAGAUGUAUUCCUGUUUAGUAACUCCUUCUUAAAGAGUAGUCUGCUUGUACGUGUGCUUGGUUUCCAAAUUCAUAUGAACAAAGCAAUGUUAAUUCACUAAAAGCAUCUGUUGCUAACUAGCCUACAAUUUUACCAUUAAAGCAUCAUUAAAUAUACUUGGUCGG